GUAGUAGGCUGUAAGCUGCAUCUCAUUGUAGUAGCCUGUAGACUGCAUCUCAUUGUAGUAGGCUGUAGGCUGUAGGCUGCAUCUCACUGUAGUAGACUGUAGGCUGUAGGCUGCAUCUCACUGUAGUAGGCCGUAGGCUGCAUCUCACUGCUGUAGGCUGCAUCUCACUGUAGUAGGCUGCAUCUCACUGUAGUAGGCUGCAUCUCACUGUAGUAGGCUGUAUCUCACUGUAGUAGGCUGCAUCUCACUGUAGUAGGCUGCAUCUCACUGUAGUAGGCUGUAUCUCACUGCUGUAGGCUGCAUCUCACUGUAGUAGGCUGCAUCUCACUGUAGUAGGCUGUAGGCUGCAUCUCACUGUAGUAGGCCGUAGGCUGCAUCUCAUUGUAGUAGGCUGUAGGCUGCAUCUCACUGUAGUAGGCUGUAGGCUGCAUCUCACUGUAGUAGGCUGUAGGCUGCAUCUCACUGUAGUAGGCUGUAGACUGCAUCUCACUGUAGUAGGCUGCAUCUCACUGUAGUAGGCCGUAGGCUGCAUCUC
rnacentral:lncRNA from 1 species